UUAAAGGAUGUUUUGUUGGCAUGACCUCUGACCUGACCUUUGCCCUCUCAUGGAGCUCAUAGUAACAUACUUGUUUCUUGAUGCAACUUUCAUUUGAAUAAUCAGAAAACCUGAAGCUUCAGAUACAUGAAUCAAAGUUUUUGACUCAUUACAUGAGAAAGAUCCUACACUGUGAUGUAUUAUGUGCAUCAUCAGCUGUAUCUCGUACAGAUUUACAUCGAGAUGAUUUGCAUCGCAGCACAAGCUUCAGCAGGUUUUAUAUCUCUGUGAGUCUGAACUCCGAGAAUCUGAACCAACAGCAACCAUGAGCUUCAUCACCAUCUUCAUCUGGAUCUUCACUAGCUGCUGUUUCACAGAAUCAGCAGGUGAAGUGACAGUCACUCAGACGCCUGCAGAGAAACCUGCUCAACCAGGAGACACAGUUACUAUGUCCUGUAAAACCAGUCCUGAAGUUUACCAGGGUUACAGUUAUCAGCCUCUAUCCUGGUACUUACAGAAACCUGGAGAAGCUCCUAAACUCCUGAUUUAUUAUACAAACCGCCUCCAGUCAGGAACUCCAUCUAGAUUCAGUGGCAGUGGAUCUAACAGUGAUUUCACUCUGACCAUCAGUGGAGUCCAGACUGAAGAUGCUGGACAUUAUUACUGUCUGAGUUACCACUACAUCAACAGUGAUGAUGUGUUCACACAGUGAUUGUGAGUGGUACAAAAACCUGUGUCAGUCAGA